GCGCAGCAGUCGCGAAUCUUCCACAAUGGACGAAAGUCUGAUGGAGCGACGCCGCGUGCGGGAUGAAGGCCUUAUGGGUUGUAAACCGCUGUCAGGGGGGAAGAACAUCGGAAUGAACAAUACUCAUUCCGACUGACGUUACCCCCAGAGGAAGCUCCGGCCAACUCCGUGCCAGCAGCCGCGGUAAUACGGGGGGAGCAAGCGUUGUCCGGAAUUAUUGGGCGUAAAGGGCGUGUAGGCGGCGAGGUAAGUCGAAUGUGAAAUCUCACGGCUCAACCGUGAAACUGCGUUCGAAACUCCCUGCUUGAGUACGGGAGAGGUGUACGGAAUUCCUGGUGUAGCGGUGGAAUG
rnacentral:rRNA from 1 species